rnacentral:rRNA from 1 species
GACAGAGGGUGCGAACGUUGCUCGGAAUUACUGGGUUUAAAGGGUGCGUAGGCGGCCCUGUAAGUCAGGAGUGAAAGUUUGCGGCUCAACCGUAAAAUUGCUUUUGAUACUGCGGGGCUAGAAUUAGGAUGAGGUUAGCGGAAUGUGGCAUGUAGCGGUGAAAUGCAUAGAUAUGCCAUAGAACACCAAUUGCGAAGGCAGCUGGCUAGACCUGGAUUGACGCUGAGGCACGAAAGCGUGGGGAGCGAACAGG